rnacentral:misc_RNA from 1 species
GAUGAAGAACGUAGCAAAAUGCGAUACUUGGUGUGAAUUGCAGAAUCCCGUGAACCAUCGAGUUUUUGAACGCAAGUUGCGCCCGAAGCCUUUUGGCCGAGGGCACGUCUGCCUGGGCGUCACGCAUCGCGUCGCCCCCCACAAUUCUCCGUAAAGGGAACAUGUGUUUUGGGGGCGGAUAUUGGUCUCCCGUGCUCAUGGCGUGGUUGGCCGAAAUAGGAGUCCUUUCGAUGGACGCACGAACUAGUGGUGGUCGUAAAAACCCUCGUCUUUUGUUUCGUGCUGUUGCUCGCAAGGUAAACUCUUUAAAAACCCCAAUGUGUCGUCUCUUGACGACGCUUCGACCGCGACCCCAGGUCAGGCGGGACUACCCGCUGAGUUUAAGCAUAUCAAGCGGAGGA